CUCCUCGACCGUUCUGAUUGGCGCCCAAUGUGAAGUCCCAGCUCUGCUUGCCUCGUGAUUGGUGGAGAGUGUAAACUCUCUCAUCUGCCUGAACAUUGAAAACGACAGAACACUAUGCUCUUACUAUAGUCUCAACAGGCUGAAUGAAAAGAGAUAUACUUGCUGGCAAGGAAACAGUUGUGAUCACUGUGCACUCCAGAAACCCUUCAAAGAGCACCACACAUGCAAGCUACGGGCCAGAAAAAUUGUCAACGGCCACUUGGAUAGUAUGACUACCAGAACUGUUCUCCAAUCACAUUACACAGGGAAGCUUGAACUUCAAAUACAU